UACGGAGGGUGCAAGCGUUAUCCGGAUUCACUGGGUUUAAAGGGCUCGUAGGUGGCCAACUAAGUCAGACGUGAAAUCCCUCAGCUUAACUGGGGAACUGCGUCUGAUACUGGAUGGCUUGAGUUUGGGAGAGGGAUGCGGAAUUCCAGGUGUAGCGGUGAAAUGCGUAGAUAUCGGGAAGAACACCCGUGGCGAAGGCGGUUCUCUGGGACGGUACUGACGCUGAGACGCGAAAGCGUGGGGAGCGAACAGG
rnacentral:rRNA from 1 species